GAGUUUGAUCCUGGCUCAGAACGUUUGCGNGGCGGCGUGCUUAACACAUGCAAGUCGAACGAGUAAGUGGAGUUCGGUCCAUGAGUAGAGUGGCGCACGGGUGAGUAACACGUGGGUAAUCUACCCUUCAAUUUGGGAUAACAUUGCGAAAGUGAUGCUAAUACCGAAUGACAUCCAAGAGACUUCGGUUUAUUGGAUCAAAGAUGGCCAAUCCAUGGAAGCUAUUGUUGGAGGAUGAGCCUGCGUACCAUUAGCUAGUUGGUAGGGUAAGAGCCUACCAAGGCGACGAUGGUUAGCUGGUCUGAGAGGAUGAUCAGCCACACUGGAACUGACACACGGUCCAGACUCCUACGGGAGGCAGCAGUGAGGAAUUUUGCGCAAUGGGGGCAACCCUGACGCAGCAACGCCGCGUGAGUGAUGAAGGCCUUUGGGUCGUAAAACUCUGUCAGCAGGGAAGAAAUUAUAUAUGGUUAAUACCCAUAUAUAUUGACGGUACCUGCAAAGGAAGCACCGGCUAACUCCGUGCCAGCAGCCGCGGUAAUACGGGGGGUGCAAGCGUUAUUCGGAAUUAUUGGGCGUAAAGGGCGCGUAGGCGGCCUGUCAGGUCAGAUGUGAAAGCCCGGGGCUUAACUCCGGAAGUGCAUUUGAAACCGGCAGGCUUGAGUAUGGGAGAGGAAAGUGGAAUUCCUGGUGUAGAGGUGAAAUUCGUAGAUAUCAGGAGGAACACCAGUGGCGAAGGCGACUUUCUGGACCAAUACUGACGCUGAGGCGCGAAGGCGUGGGUAGCAAACAGGAUUAGAUACCCUGGUAGUCCACGCAGUAAACGUUGUUCACUAGGUGUAGCGGGUAUUGACCCCUGCUGUGCCNCANCUAACGCAUUAAGUGAANCCGCCUGGGAAGUACGAUCCCAGAAUAAAANCUCCAAAGGAAUUGACGGGGGNCCCCCCCCAAGCCGGUGGAACCAUGG
rnacentral:rRNA from 1 species